AUUGAACGCUGGCGGAAUGCUUUACACAUGCAAGUCGAACGGCAGCACGGGAGCUUGCUCCUGGUGGCGAGUGGCGAACGGGUGAGUAAUAUAUCGGAACGUAUCCAAUAAUGGGGGAUAACUAGUCGAAAGAUUAGCUAAUACCGCAUACGCCCUGAGGGGGAAAGCUGGGGAUCUUCGGACCUAGCGUUAAUGGAGCGGCCGAUAUCUGAUUAGCUAGUAGGUGAGGUAAAAGCUCACCUAGGCGACG
rnacentral:rRNA from 1 species